rnacentral:ncRNA from 1 species
UGAUAGCGGUGAAGCGUGAGGUUGCUGCCCGCCCGUGGCAGGUUUUCCGUGGAGCGAAUGUCAUGUUUAGGAAACUGACGACAA